rnacentral:rRNA from 1 species
UACGUAGGGGGCAAGCGUUGUCCGGAAUUAUUGGGCGUAAAGCGCGCGCAGGCGGUUCUUUAAGUCUGGUGUCUAAGUGCGGGGCUCAACCCCGUGAUGCACUGGAAACUGGGGAACUUGAGUGUAGGAGAGGAAAGUGGAAUUCCACGUGUAGCGGUGAAAUGCGUAGAGAUGUGGAGGAACACCAGUGGCGAAGGCGACUUUCUGGCCUAUAACUGACGCUGAGGCGCGAAAGCUAGGGGAGCAAACGGG